rnacentral:rRNA from 1 species
GCACAAGCGGUGGAUGAUGUGGAUUAAUUCGAUGCAACGCGAAGAACCUUACUACCCUUGACAUGUCCGGAACUUGCCAGAGAUGGCUUGGUGCCCGAAAGGGAAUCGGAACACAGGUGCUGCAUGGCUGUCGUCAGCUCGUGUCGUGAGAUGUUGGGUUAAGUCCCGCAACGAGCGCAACCCUUAUCAUUAGUUGCUACGCAAGGGCACUCUAAUGAGACUGCCGGUGACAAACCGGAGGAAGGUGGGGAUGACGUCAAGUCCUCAUGGCCCUUAUGACCUGGGCUACACACGUGCUACAAUGGGCGGUACAAAGGGCUGCGAACCCGCGAGGGGGAGCGAAUCCCAAAAAGCCGCUCUCAGUUCGGAUUGCAGGCUGCAACUCGCCUGCAUGAAGCCGGAAUCGCUAGUAAUCGCGAAUCAGCACGCCGCGGUGAAUACGUUCCCGGGCCUU